AUGGCAAUCAGUAAGAUGCAUCUAGUUUGGUCACUGUGUGUGGCUUUCACGUUUGCCGUCGCAGCAGCUGCUGCCCCUGCUCAAGGUUCAGGCAGGGUGCGCCGCCACUACGAUUUCUUCAUAAGGGAGGCCAACUACACCAGGCUCUGCAGUGAGAAGAACAUCCUCACCGUCAACGGCGAGUUCCCCGGCCCCACCAUCUUCGCGCGCAAGGGCGACGUCGUCCUCGUCAACGUCCACAACCAAGGCCACCAAAAUGUCACCAUUCACUGGCACGGCGUGGACCAGCCGCGCAACCCGUGGUCGGACGGGCCGGCGUACAUAACGCAGUGCCCCAUCCAGCCCGGCAACACAUUCACCUACAGGAUCAUCUUCUCCGAGGAGGAAGGUACCCUGUGGUGGCACGCGCACAGCGACUUCGACCGCGCCACCGUGCACGGCGCCAUCGUCAUCCACCCCAGGAGCGGUGCCGCCUACCCCUUCCCGAAGCCGCACCGAGAGGUGCCCAUCAUCCUCGGGGAGUGGUGGAACCGUGACGUCGGGCAAAUGCUCGCCGAAGCCCUCAGCAGCGGCGGCGACUUCCAGCCGUCGGACGCCAACACCAUCAACGGCCAGCCCGGCGACCUGUUCCCAUGCUCCAGUGACACCACCUUCAAGCUCCCCGUCGAGCACGGCAAGACCUACAUGCUCCGCAUCAUCAACGCGGCGCUCACCAACGAGUUCUUCUUCGCCAUCGCCGGGCACCGCCUCACGGUGGUCGGCACCGACGCCGCCUACACCAAGCAGUUCACAGUCGACCACGUCUUCAUCGGGCCGGGCCAGACCAAGACCGUGCUGCUCAGCGCCGACCGCGGCCGCUCGAACCACACCAGGUACUACAUGGCAGCGAGGCCAUACGCGACCAACCCGCUCGCCCGCUUCGACAACAGCACGACCACCGCCGUCCUCGAGUACAUCGACGCGCCGCAGGCCACGGCGAUGUUGGACAUCCCCACCCUGCCAGCCAUCAACGAUAGCGCGGCGGUGGAGGCGUACUCGGUGCAGCUCAGGUCCCUCGCCAGCGAGGAGCACCCAGUGGACGUGCCUCGGCUCAUCGACGAGCACAUGCUCAUCACCAUCGCGGUCAACGAGAUCCCCUGCACGCCCGGCAAGCUGUGCAAGGGCCCUCGCAACAACAGCCUCGCGGCGAGCCUCAACAACGUCAGCUUCGAGAUGCCCAGCACGGCCAUCCUCGAAGCCUACUACAGCUCGGUGCUACAGGGCGUCACCAAGACAAACUUCCCCGAGAACCCGACGGUGGCUUUCAACUACACCUCCGACGACCUCCCUCUAGACCUCAGGUUCACGGCGCGCGACACGAGGGUGAAGGUGCUUGAGUACGGCACCGUGAUGGAGGUGGUGUUCCAGGACACGUCCAUCCUCGGCAGCGAGAGCCACCCCAUGCACCUUCACGGGUACAGCUUCUACGUGGUAGGGAGAGGGGCUGGUAACUUUGACAGGCGCAAGGACCCGGCCACGUACAACUUGGACGACCCGCCGUACCAGAACACGGUCUCCGUGCCCAAAGCUGGAUGGGCCGCAAUCCGCUUCCGGGCGGUGAAUCCAGGUGUAUGGUUCAUGCAUUGCCAUUUUGAGCGACACAUGGUGUGGGGGAUGGAGACCGUGUUUAUUGUGAAGAACGGCAAGGCAGAAGAAGCUAAGAUCAUGCCACCACCUCCAAAUAUGCCAAAGUGCUGA
rnacentral:rRNA from 1 species